rnacentral:misc_RNA from 1 species
UUGAUUCAUUUGUUUUGUUACUCAGAAGAAUUCUAACGAAAACAAGAGUUUUAAGGUCCUCGGCGGGCGCCUGGUUCCGGGCGCUGAGGCCCGGGGCGGUCCCGCCGAAGCAACGAUAGGUACGUUCACAGGGGGUUUGGGAGUUGUAAACUCGGUAAUGAUCCCUCCGCUGGUUCACCAACGGAGA